AUUGAACGCUGGCGGCAUGCUUUACACAUGCAAGUCGAACGGUAACAGGCCGCAAGGUGCUGACGAGUGGCGAACGGGUGAGUAAUGCAUCGGAACGUGCCCAGUCGUGGGGGAUAACUACUCGAAAGAGUAGCUAAUACUGCAUACGAUCUAUGGAUGAAAGCGGGGGACCGUAAGGCCUCGCGCGAUUGGAGCGGCCGAUGUCAGAUUAGGUAGUUGGUGGGGUAAAGGCUCACCAAGCCAACGAUCUGUAGCUGGUCUGAGAGGACGACCAGCCACACUGGGACUGAGACACGGCCCAGACUCCUACGGGAGGCAGCAGUGGGGAAUUUUGGACAAUGGGCGCAAGCCUGAUCCAGCAAUGCCGCGUGCAGGAAGAAGGCCUUCGGGUUGUAAACUGCUUUUGUACGGAACGAAACGGCUCUGGUUAAUACCCGGGGCUAAUGACGGUACCGUAAGAAUAAGCACCGGCUAACUACGU
rnacentral:rRNA from 1 species